rnacentral:misc_RNA from 1 species
CGCAUGAGCAACAGGACGGAUACCGUCCUCGAGCCAACACGGGGCACGCCAGGCUUCUGUAAGGGACAAUUGCUUCGGGCAAAAAGGGGACAAGGACCCCGACCGAUCAUGCUUCUACAUACAAGACUUCGAGCGACCCUGGGGCGUCCGACCCCUGCAAGCUCCAUAGGCAAAGCAAGGGCGGACGUCCAUGGGAGCCAAAGGGUCUCACAUCGCACAAAACAUUUUGGCAACGAGAUAGAGUAGGGACCGUGGGACUAGAUAAUUCCGUCAAAACAGGUAUGCCGCACAGGGGACCAAGCCGAUCCGAGGCAAAAUAUUUAGCACUCGGAUAGAAUUGAACAGGUGUGAACCAGCGGUUGUCGCUACCGGGGCAGGGAACCAACCAACCGGAACAUACC